CAGAUAGCAAGGUGACGUCUAAAGACGUCAUCUUGCUACCUGGGAUAUUACAUAACUGACAUUGUAAUAUGGAUGACACUUUGCGUUUACUGGUUCAUUCUGGACCAUUGAUUUUGGAUCAGUGUUCGCUGAAGGCUGAUAGCUGUGCAAAGACUUUCGUGUGAUACAAGGAGUAUCCGACUCAUGGUAUCGGUGCAAUGGAAGAUCGUAUGGAAUCGGAAAUAUCGGAACGGCUGAAUUACCUCUGUCCUUGAUUGGAAACGUCGUUGUCGCGGUCUGAAUGCAAAAUGCAAACUUAUUUAAGACAACAAUGACAAUAAAAACGACAAUAGCAAUGGUAGCAAAGCAUUGAUAUGCUCGCUGCAUUUGUAUAAAUAGCGAUAUUAACUCGGGAGUGGGCGCGUGAACGAGACGAACGUUAGUGCGCGUGUAUCGGUCAUUUCGAUCGAAAUAUAUUUAAGCAUAUAUAUGUAUAAUAAUUAAGUAAUAAUUAAUAAAUUACCAAUCCAAUUAUUAAAAGAAACAAUAAUUGAAGGAAAUAA